GCAGGAUUGUCGUGAAGCCCAAGCAAGACGGGAAAAUCGAUGUCCAGACAGUGAGAGGGAAGCGUUAAACAGGGAUGAACAACAGCCCCCUUACGUCCAGGACCGGAGAACAUACAGAGGACGUGUUCAUACUUUCAGACACAGAAGGCCCGACCCGGCCCCCAGGAUUACCUCCUUCUGAUUGGUAGGAAAACUGAGGCCCCUAGAGCCAAAGGGGCUUGCUCAAAGUCUUGACAAAGGCAGCUUUGAAUCCAGAUCCUCUAACACCAAAAACAACCUUUUCUUCCACACACACACAGAACCACAUUAACAAUA